rnacentral:rRNA from 1 species
CAGCAGCCGCGGGAAUACGGAGGGUGCAAGCGUUAUCCGGAUUUAUUGGGUUUAAAGGGUCCGUAGGCGGUCUUGUAAGUCAGUGGUGAAAGCCCAUCGCUCAACGGUGGAACGGCCAUUGAUACUGCAGGACUUGAAUUAUUGGGAAGUAACUAGAAUAUGUAGUGUAGCGGUGAAAUGCUUAGAGAUUACAUGGAAUACCAAUUGCGAAGGCAGGUUACUACCAAUUGAUUGACGCUGAUGGACGAAAGCGUGGGUAGCGAACAGGAUUAGAUACCCGAGUAGUCCCUGUCUCUUAUAA